GCAAAUACUUCACUCAGUGUAUAUGAGCCCUGACAGGACAUCUGUGAUCCAUGGGAUUGAGAACCAGCUCCUUCCACAUUAAGCAAUAACAAGCAGAAAGGCUUCGCUGUAUUUUGCUCUUUUUCAGCAAAAUGAAAAUUUAACUUUGCCAUCACGUUGGGAAUGGAGUAAACACUAGCCACUGAAAACUAGCAGCAGGAAGAGGUAAAUGAUUUACAAGAUAUUCUUCAAUCAUUUAGCACAUAUUUGGUUAGGGGCUAGAGUAUUCCUGAAGAAGGCAACAGUUCUCCAGGAACCUUAAUCCUAAAAUACCUGCUGCGUGGGACUGCUUCGGAGGAAACUGCAGAGAUCAGUUCUGGAUUGAGAUUGCAUCCCCAGUCUUGGAUCCUUUAACAUCCCAGAAGGAACACAUGAAAAAGAAAAAUCCCCCUACUUACACAGUGAAUAGGACGUAUUGCCUAACUGCCUACAAAAACACAGGAAUUUACCAUUCCCCGGACCCACGCAGAGCCUGCACCUCUCCAGACCAGUGGCAGAUCAGACAAGAUUUCCCACUCCUGAUGGAUCAGCAGGACCUUCCAGGGUGGUCCCACACUCGACUCCACUUCCCUGGGAAGUUUUGCUUCCUGAUUAAUGAAGAAGCUGCCCUGCCAGCCCUGGGAUGUUCCAUGGGGAGGAAGGACAUGCUGGGCAGCAAGGGAAGCACAACCACUGCCCCUAAUGCAGCCCAAAACCCCCAAAGAGCCACUCUUGCCCACCACCACCCCCAAAGAACGUCUCUGUCCUUUAAGUGCUGUGCCUCCUCCUCAGGGGGCUCCUAAUGCACUUCCCUCCUUCUGCCUCGCUGACUGCCAGAGAAGGACGUGCUCGGGGCCCCUGAGCACCCUGCAGUCACGAGCAAAAAGGGAAAGCCAAUAUACAAACUGCAGUGAUUAAUAUUAAACACGGAAUGUGCAUCUAAAGACACUAUUAAUGUUAAUGACAAAACAACAACACGACAACAAAGGCUGGGGACAGCAGACAGAUGAACGCUUGCAGAUGUGGAGGGGUUGGGAACAAACGCCAAGAGCUGCUCGAAGUUGGUUGCUGCUCAGUGCUUUCACUUUGGUGGUACCUGAACAAAUUUGCCUUGAUAAAAUACUUUGGGAAAAAGUUAGAUUUAACCUUGGCUCAGUGCAAAAACUUUAGACCCAACCCAGUGGAACGUGAAAUUAUUCUCCAAAUGCAAAUUAGCUGGUGAUGUGAUUAGCACUCACGACAGCCAUAUUAAUUGUUUGAACCCUAAGUUGACUACUGGUUGUUACAGGGAUUGUCCUGAUCACCCCUGAAUGUGGGGGCAUCCCUAUCCUGCUGUUACUGGGACGCUGAGCUGCCAUCCUGCAUCACCUCCUGUCAGAAAAGGUUCACACCCGAGAAUCAUCAUCGAUGAGAAAACAAACCAACGCAAAACCUCCCUCAGUGGCAAUUUCCAAGGAGAAGAGAGCAUCAAACGGAUUUUAAACAGGCAGGAACCCAGCAUAUGAGCAGAGUCUGGGCCAAAUGUCCUGCCAGGGGCCAGCCAGCAGGAGCCCACUGCCAAGACCUGGUCCCUAGAUCAACACCUCAGCCGUGAUAAAAAGCUGCUCUUUAAAUCAAAGGCAGCUCACAAACGAAAAAAAAAACCCCAAAGACAUAAAUCUGCAUUGGCUUCCAGCCCAGUGUGAUCUUCCAGUGUAUUUCUGCUGAUGCUACUUCUGGGAUGGGACAAAGGAAAUGGAUGACACGGAGACGGCUGUGGCAGGAAGACCACCAGAUUGCCCGUAAAGAGGAGCAGGCAGUGGUGGAGGUGACAUCCUGUCAUGGGCUGCAAGUUCAGCUCCAACUUUUUUGCUGCCUCCUGGGAACUGCAGCAGCUCAGUCAAGUCAGCUCGAGGUUUGAAAUGUGCUGAGGGACGAGGUACUUCGUGCCCAUGGGUGUAGCAAAGGAGCAGGGCUGGUUCUGGCAAUGUUUUUAGGAAAACAGGAAGACUCCUAAGUAAUGGAAGGGACCAGAAAAUCUUUUGUCACUUCAAUUUCACCAUCAAAUUUUUGUUGAAAAUCACCUAAAAGCAGAGCAGUGAUGGAACUCUGAGAAAUAUCCUAAUCAGACGCACACCAUGCCCAAAAGCCAAAAUUCAUCUCCAAAAUAUCAGUGUUGUAUCUCUUCUUUAGAAACUGCUAUGUAAAUGCUUCCAAAUUAUUUCACUUACAGGUGUUUGUUUUAGCAAUGAAUUAUUUGACCCCAUUCUGACCUCACUCAGGACCUCAACAAACCCAUCUCUGAGACAUCACUGAGAGAUGAAAAAAGAAGUUACAGAUGUGUGCUCCUCACAAGGAGUAUCUAUCAAGGAGGACACAGUCAAAAGGGUCACCAAGACUUUUUUCCUGUAAGAAAAUGAACAAUAAAAAUUGUUCACCAUUUGGUUUUGGGGCUGGGUUGUUUUGUUGGUUUUUGAGGGGUUUUUUUGUACAAGAGAAUGAAAAUCUGUUUGCAGUUGUAACUUUUACAGUAUGUCACGUAUUUUCUUUUUUUUUUCCCGUCUUCCAUAAUUAUUUUUACAGAGAGCUGUUCUUUCAAUCAGGUCACUGAUCUCUGAAAAACAAACCUUCAAGUCUGCUUUUGAAAAAUUGGACCUUCCUUUCCUUUCAAUCGAAAGAUUCACAACUUUCCCGUACGAGCCAAGACUCAAAAAAUAACAUAAAUCCUUUCAGUGCUGUCUCUCUCUUUGCCUGUGUAACAGAUAUUUCUGCUAACAUUUACUUUUGUAAUUUUUCACAUUAUUCUAGCUCUCAGAGGUUAAUAUUUACCAUUCAUUUCGAUAUUCACAAACUACAGAGGUAGGAUUGCAAAUAUCCGCCCUGGGAAAAUGAGCAGCUCUGCCAGAAAAUAUGUUCGAAUUUCUUUGUGGAACUGUGGGAGACAACACACCACUGACAACAUUUCACUGGAUUCAUCUGUUCGUGUUUUAAACAUCUGCACAAUCAAUUCAUCCAGCACAACAGCUGGAAUUUCAAAAGGAUAACCAGAUAAUUACAGCAAAUGAGGUUUAGUCCCUUUGAACAGUGAAGACGCACUCAGCAAAAU